rnacentral:rRNA from 1 species
UACAGAGGUCUCCAGCGUUGUUCGGAUUCAUUGGGCGUAAAGGGUGCGUAGGCGGCGCGGUAAGUCGGGUGUGAAAUUUCGAGGCUUAACUUCGAAACUGCAUUCGAUACUGCCGUGCUUGAGGACUGGAGAGGAGACUGGAAUUUACGGUGUAGCGGUGAAAUGCGUAGAUAUCGGAAGGAAGACCAGUGGCGAAGGCGGGUCUCUGGACAGUGACUGACGCUGAGGAGCGAAAGCGUGGGGAGCGAACAGG